rnacentral:RNase_P_RNA from 1 species
CGAGGCCGUCGGAUGGCCACGCGCCACGUCGGGGGAAACCCCGUAGACGGCGUGAGGAAAGUCCGAGCUCCGCAGCGCAGGGUGGCGGGUAACACCCGUCCGUCGUGAGACGAGGACCAGUGCCACAGUGACGAUGCCGCCGGCGGCGAGAGCCGACGGCGGAGUGAAACGGGCAAACUCCACCCGGAGCAAGGCCAAAUAGGAGGGCGCAACCCGUGUGGGGCAACCCGCCGGGGGAGAGGUGCGCUGCCCAGCCCUCGGGUCGGCCGCAUGAGCCGUCGGGCGACCGACGGCCCCAGAUGGAUGGCCAUCCGCGGCGGCGCGAGCCGCCGCGACAGAACUCGGCUUACAGACGACCUCGCUGA